CGCGGCCUAUCAGCUUGUUGGUGGGGUAGUGGCUUACCGAGGCUUUGACGGGUAGCCGGCCUGAGAGGGUGACCGGCCACAUUGGGACUGAGAUACGGCCCAGACUCCUACGGGAGGCAGCAGUGGGGAAUAUUGCACAAUGGGCGGAAGCCUGAUGCAGCAACGCCGCGUGCGGGAUGACGGCCUUCGGGUUGUAAACCGCUUUCGCCUGUGACGAAGCGUGAGUGACGGUAAUGGGUAAAGAAGCACCGGCUAACUACGUGCCAGCAGCCGCGGUGAUACGUAGGGUGCGAGCGUUGUCCGGAUUUAUUGGGCGUAAAGGGCUCGUAGGUGGUUGAUCGCGUCGGAAGUGUAAUCUUGGGGCUUAACCCUGAGCGUGCUUUCGAUACGGGUUGACUUGAGGAAGGUAGGGGAGAAUGGAAUUCCUGGUGGAGCGGUGGAAUGCGCAGAUAUCAGGAGGAACACCAGUGGCGAAGGCGGUUCUCUGGGCCUUUCCUGACGCUGAGGAGCGAAAGCGUGGGGAGCGAACAGGCUUAGAUACCCUGGUAGUCCACGCUGUAAACGGUGGGUACUAGGUGUGGGGUCCAUUCCACGGGUUCCGCGCCGUAGCUAACGCUUUAAGUACCCCGCCUGGGGAGUACGG
rnacentral:rRNA from 1 species